CUACGGGUCGCUGCAGUGGGGAAUAUUGGACAAUGGGGGAAACCCUGAUCCAGCAAUGCCGCGUGUGUGAAGAAGGCCUGCGGGUUGUAAAGCACUUUCGGUUGGGAGGACUGCUUCUAGCACUAAUAUUGUUGGAAGUUGACGUUACCUUCAGAAGAAGCACCGGCUAACUCCGUGCCAGCAGCCGCGGUAAUACGGAGGGCGCAAGCGUUAAUCGGAAUUACUGGGCGUAAAGCGCGCGUAGGCGGCUAGAUCAGUCGGGCGUGAAAGCCCCGGGCUUAACCUGGGAACUGCAUCCGAUACUGUCUAGCUAGAGUACAGGAGAGGAGAGUGGAAUUCCACAUGUAGCGGUGAAAUGCGUAGAUAUGUGGAGGAACACCAAUGGCGAAGGCAGCUCUCUGGCCUGAUACUGACGCUGAGGUGCGAAAGCGUGGGGAGCAAACAGGAUUAGAUACCCGCGUAGUC
rnacentral:rRNA from 1 species